rnacentral:lncRNA from 1 species
CCUAAUUCCUGUCUCAGAAUGACUUCAGCGUACAGACUCUCCUUCAACAAUUUGAUAUAAAUAAUCACCCUUUUGCAUUGAACAUUUUGUGAAAUAAAUUGUUUAUACUCUGCAAGCUGAGGAAAAUAGGCCACUCAACUAAAAUGUUUAAAACUCUUCAAAACUAUUACAUUCAUGGCAUCUAAUAAGAGAUUAUUAUUUUCUUCAUGGCAAGUUUCUUAAUAUUUUUUAUAACCAUUAGUGGCGGUGACAGAAGAGAAUACUAUUCUAUGUAACUUUUUUAUAUUUGUGCAAAAAAAAUGUGAUCAUGAUGUAUUAUGUUUACAUAAACUGACGUGACCAACAUGAAUGGUUUUUGUGUACUUACUAUUAGUCUGAAGAGCUGUCCAGUGGAAAGCAAUGUCUUUGCAACAGUAUGAGUAUACUGAAGCAGGGAAUAAGGAGAAGACUUUGGAUUUCUGCUUUGUCUUUACAGAGAUUCCAGCUGGCCACCAUAUUGAAGGGGAUUCUGUAACUGACUGGAUUUAACGCAAAGCAAAAAGAGACAUGACUGGUAGGCACAAAGAAUGGAUUGUAUUGAAACAAUUCCUGUGUGCCACUUCUAAUCCUCUUAUUCUGGCCUUAGUUGUGGAGACUAAUUCCCACGUAGGAUUCAACCAGAUUCACUGAGGUGCAACCUGGCAGCACAUUGCCUUAGGCAGACGUUGGGUACCUCUUACUUUCUGGUAGGGGUAUGCCUGCUCAUUAGAUAUUCACAGGAACUCUUAGCAUUUGUGCUUGUGUAGAGAUGGUAAUGCCCCGUGACAUAGCUCUUGACUAAUGGGGAAGAGACUUGAUUGACAAAUGCUUUCCCUUUUCUUUCCCCAGUGGAUGAUUCUGAGAAGCAUUUCACUAGGCUUUCAGAUGUUCUUUCAAGAUUGAUCUCCCUGUCAUACAAAAGUGGUAGCCAAAUCAAUAUGCAUUCCUCUGUUACUUUUCUCUUCUUCCCAUUCUCCUUCUGAUUCCUAGAACCACAGUCCCAAAUAAAUCACUCUCAAAUAAAAAUUUCCCUCAGUUGGUGCUUUUGUAAAAUGAGAAUAUUAUUUGCAUUCAUUUAAACCCGAUUAGAGGCCAGGAGUGGUGGCUCACCCAUGUAAUCCCAGCACUUUGGGAGGCUGAGGGACACGGAUCACUUGAGGUCAGGAGUUCAAGACCAGACUGGCCAACAUGGUGAAACCCUGUCUCUACUAAAAGUACAAAAAU